UUCUCACCCUGGCCAGGGAUGGCACACUCCUGGCUACAUACACAGACCCAGCACUAGUGGGCCCACUUGGUCUACAUGUGACCCCUGCAGGCCAGGUGCUGGUCUGUGGAGCCUGGUCCGACACUGUACUACAGGUGGGCUGGGAGGGAAAGAGUAAGCUGGCUACGCUGGCUACUCAUAAGGAUGGAGUGAGGUGGCCAGAGUCAGUCUGCUACAGCAGCACCACAUCAUCCAUCAUUGUGGGACUGGGGGGGAAGGACAACAUCCUGGUGUUCAGAGUGGAAUAGUGUGUACAUUUGCUGCUGGGUCGGGACAACGAUGCUGAGGAUGUGGGGGACAAGCAUGACGCAGAAGGUGAGCACCAGCAUUGAUAUCCAGUUGGCCAAGCAACAGCACCAGUCCGGCCUGCAGGAGCCCCAAUACUAAAUGAUCCUUUGCCUUCCCUGAUCCCUACCUCCUCCCACUGGACCUCCGGCCACAAAGGGUCAGCAUCAUAACACAAGUCUGUUCUGCAAUAAAUCCUCAGCACGUCAAGUUUUCACGCGCUGUUAUGAACAGCUGAAAUGUCUGUGUUGAGAUUUCCCCAAGCAAGCCCGAGUAGUUUUGUUUAGCUCUAGUGCCCGAGUGGGAUGAGUGUUACAGAAGCGAGACGUUAUAGCAGCACUUAUGGUAACGCUAACAGUUGACGCUAACAGUUAGUUCUCGCUGUGGACAUCACGAAGAAUCUCACGAAGGAUUAAACGUUGAAUAGUUUGUUUAAUUCUUUAUAAGACAGCUAUAUAUUCAGCGAGGAACGGGAGCAAAUCAAGGAACAAUCGAAACGAUUCAUUCAGAAGUAUAUCUGCUGUAGAUAGUUAGGACAGUAGAAGCGUUACGGACUAUCCUCAGCGCACAAUAUAUUCAUGUGGUGUGCCUCAGACGCAAAUUCCCCACAUUAUUGAAAACAAGUUGCUAAAAAGUCAACACGUACGGUUUUGCACUCCGAGCCCAAAGAGCAUCGCAUUGAAUUGAGACUAAAGAAGGCUUAAAAACGUGACAACAGUUUUGUUGUAUGGUACAGUAUGCCCUUCGACUCAACCCGAAGUUAAUCAGAACUCAAACUCGGCCCUUAACAAUAUCCGCGAGGCCAGCAUAUCAGCUCAGCUUCUGAGCUUC